AAUCCAAAUCCAAAACAAAAAUAUCUGUAUACCUUUAAAGAGUCUUCUGAGAGUGAUUCCCUUAACCCUAGCUCAUCUUCUUCAAGCCCCCUUUUUUCUGUGCUCUCACGCGAGGAAUAAGCGGUCUGUUAAUUUUAGGGAAAUUUGAUUUGGUUAUCUCAGUUGACCUAGGAAGAUGUCUGGUAUGUACGGCCAAGAAGGCGACGGAUCUGGCGCGCCGCCCAUGGGCGGAAGCGGAGGUUAUGGCGGUGGUGGAUAUGGCGGUUCUGAAGGCGGAGGAGGCUACGGAGGUUAUGGCGGCGGUGGAGGUGGAGGCUACGGGAAUCGAGGAAGCGGUGGUGGAGGCUACGGUGGAAGAGGCGGAGGCGGUGGAUACGGAGGUAAUAGAGGGGGUGGAGGAGGUGGAUACCCGGGUGAUCGUGGCGGUGGGUACCAAGGGGAUCGUGGGGGACGCGGUGGCGGUGGUGGUAGGGGAGGUGGUCGUGGUGGAGGAAGCGGCAGGGAAGGUGAUUGGCGUUGUCCCAAUCAAAGCUGCGGGAAUGUGAACUUUGCCCGAAGAACUGAGUGUAACAAAUGUGGUACACAGUCUCCUGCUGGCGGUGAUGACCGUGGCGGUAGAGGUGGUGGUGGUGGUGGUCAAAGUAGAGGUGGAAGAGGUGGAGGUUAUGAAAACAGCAGAGGUGGAAGAGGUAACUACUAUGAUGGUGGCAGUGGUCGCAGUGGCAACGGUUACGAUGGUGGUAGUCAAGGAAGGGAUGAUGGUGGUUAUGGGCAGAGUCCUCCCAUUGCUCCCCCUUCUUAUGGGGGUGCUGGUGGAUUUGCUCCUCCGAAUGCAUAUGGUGGAAACCCUAAUUAUGCUCCUGAUGCGGUCCCUCCACCUACAAGUUACACUGGGGGACCUACUUCGCACCCUCCUUCAUAUGGUGCCCCUGUUGGUUAUGGUGGUGAUGGUCAAGGUGGUAGCCGUGGAGGUGGACGAGGGGGUUCAUCUGGUGGAUAUGGGGGAGGUCCUCGAAACCCAGGAGGUUAUAGCAGUGCUCCAGCAGAGGUUACUGAAAAGGUCAAGCAAUGUGAUGAAAAUUGUGGGGAUUCCUGUGAUAACUCAAGAAUUUACAUAUCAAAUUUGCCUCCAGAUGUCACCACUGACGAGCUCAGAGAACUGUUUGGAAGUAUCGGCCAAGUUGCAAGAAUCAAGCAAAAGCGAGGGUACAAAGAUCAAUGGCCCUGGAGCAUAAAAUUAUACACAGAUGAACAAGGAAAAAAUAAAGGCGAUGCAGUUUUAUCGUAUGAAGACCCAUCUGCAGCACAUUCAGCUGGAGGUUUCUUCAACAUGCAUGACAUGAGAGGACACAAAAUUAGCGUCACAAUGGCCGAGAAAUCUGCUCCAAAAGCUCAAUCAUAUGGUGGCGGUGGUGGUGGUGGUAGAGGCAACUAUGGAGGUGAUAGACGGAGAGACAAUUAUCGAGAUGGUGGUUCAUCUGGUCCAGAUAGAAAUUAUCAUGGCGGAAAUCGUUCACGUCCAUACUAGACACUACAGAAGGGAUAUUAAUGUAGUAGUCUUAAUGGUGGGAAGGGGUUUUAUUUUUAUUCCGUAAGCGGAUUUGUUCUCUAACUGGAGAUCAAAGGUAGGUUGUUCAUUGCUCUGAGCAAUAUACCUUUUCUCCCUUCUACAUCUCUUGUUAGCACCUUGGUGGGGAGUAAGGAUUGAUAUGAGCUGUGUGAAUGUUUUUAUAGAGGGAAGUGGAUAUUCUCCAAAUUGCUGCUAAAGGUAGGUUGAAAUUAUCAGCUGAAUGGAGCACUAGUCGUGUCUUCUGGAGCUUCUGCAGUUGCACUGUCAAACUCGGGACUGUGAGCUUAUGCAGUGGCACUGUCAAAGUUGGGACUGUUUGAUGCUCUGAUAUCCAGUUUGUGCAAACUUUGCUUGAAGGGAGUAGCACUGCCCAAUUCUUCAAAAACAUUCCCCUCCUGUGUUUGAUGCUCGAUUUUGCUCCCAUGGAUUUCCAUAUUAGACAGACUGCUUGAGAAUACUUUCCAUAUAAAAUGGUUUGUCCUCGUCCUUACUGUGAAAAAAGACCCCUCCAGUUUUCCUUUUCGUGAUAGUCUUUGCUUGCCUUGGUGUUUUUGGGUUUGCAAUCUUUUUUAGGUUACUGUUAUCUUUCUCAGUUUUCUGUUUGUUUUGUGGGAGUAAAAUAGAUUUAGAAAAUAGUUAUGUGUAAACACUGGAGAAUGAGUUCUUUUGAUGAAUGAAAUAUAGGUUUAUGGUAGCA